ensembl:lncRNA
ACUUUGUCCCCGGAAACCGAUCCGACUUCUUCACUCACACGACAAGUAAGAUCUCAAAAAACGCAUUCACAGCGUCAGUUUGAAGUGAGACGUUAAUCCUGUUUAUUGUGGAUUAGAAUCCUCUCAAGUGGAUACUAAACACAGUAAAAGUGUCCUGUUCUACAACAGAGGAAAGACGUCUGUUUGUCUCCCAUUGAACAGGGUCACAGAGCUUCAUCAGUCCUCCUCAGAAGCACCGUCCUGUCCUCUGAUGAGCGGUAGCGGUCUUUCGGAAAAAGCCAGCUCCAUGGAGAAGGUCCUCCUGGGCAUGGCUUGUGUGUCAGUUGUCCUGCAGCUCGUUGGUUUCCGGGCUGCGUGGUGUAAAUGUAAAGAGGUGAAAACACUUCUUGAGGCACCUCCAGCAGAGGAUGGGAGAUGAGGCCCAUAUGGCUCAGAUGGUCUCCACACUAAUGCAGCAGAAGAAGGGAGAUGAGGACAAACUGGCUCAGAUGGUCUCCACUCUCCAGCAGCAAAAGGAAAAUGAGGUCAAACUGUCUCAGAUGGUCUCCACUCUCCAGCAGCAGAAGAAGGAAAAUGAGGUCAAACUGUCUCAGAUGGUCUCCACUCUCCAGCAGCAGAAGGAAAAUGAGUUCAAACUGUCUCAGAUGGUCUCCACUCUCCAGCAGCAGAAGAAGGAAAAUGAGGUCAAACUGGCUCAGUUGGUUUCCAAAAUAAAGCAGCAUUGGACCGGACUGGAGGAAACCAAAGAUCAACUCGCAAGUCUACUUGAGAAGGUGAAGACUGAGAAGGUGGAGAACAAGAAGGAGCUUCAGUCUGUGGAGGAUGAAAUAAGGGAGAGAGAAAAGCAGUCGGACAAACCGAAGGAGUUAGUAACAGCCAAAGAGAACCUGCUGAAGGCUCAGUGGAAACUAGACGAGACAAAGAAGAACUAUGAGAGACUCAAAAUGAUGAUGGAGAACCUGAUGGAGCUCCAGAGUUCAUCUGUUCUACCUUGAUGAUCCCUGAUAACUUGAUGGAAGUCCUGUAUCUUUCUCUCUGGAUUAAAAGGUGAAGUGAACGUAUUUUUCUUGCAACGUGUUUUUUUACAGACAUGAAAAUAUUCAGUUUUUUUCUUUGUUCCAUCUUUCUUCCUUUUGUUGCCGUUAGUUUGAUGUAUAAAGUGAUAUGAGAAGAUAAAACCGGACGGUGGGACUUUUCUACAGCACCUCCACACGUGUAGGAUGUAACUAAAUAGAAUGCAUUUAUUGUGUAUUUAAAACAUAGGAAAUUCUUUUUGCUGGGUUUUCUCACACAAUUCGGUGUGGCAGAGCAUUCAGGUUUGAGCGAUAUAAUACUCUAGUACUAAUACUAUAGUACACAAACACUCGUAAAUUAACGGGAUUUUACUGGCAGCAAGGACGCCAGGAAUUUCCCUUUUUUUACGGUAUAAUACUGUAAAUGUUUUUUACACUAUGUUACCAUAAAAUGGAUUACUGCAUGUUACCCUAAACUUGAACCAAUUUUACUGUGAAUCAACUGCCAUUUACUGGCAGUCGACGCUAGUAACUUACUGUUUUAUUUACAGUGCC